CCUAAACCACUACUUACUGCUAUUAUCACUUUCUUAAUUUGAUCUUAAUAUUCUUGGCUUUUGAAGAAGGUUUGAUGGAUGUUGCAUGAAGGUGGAGUUCCGAUGUUUUAUGACUGGCCUUUUGGAUCCCUUUAGACUUAGAUUUCUUCCUUCUCUUCAUUCCAAAUGAAGAAAGCUUCCCCUUCUCCUUCUCCCUUAUCGUCUCCAGCUUGGGUUUCCAUUGGCGUGACCCAACCAGCAACUUGUAGUCCUUCUGUAAUUGAGGAGUGGUGCAUAUUCUGCUCCCUGAACUAUCAUCUUCCUCAGACUCCUUGAUUUUGCUUUGUUCCAUCAGUUGCGAUAUAAACUCAUCGGACACGCGUAUUCUCAGGCAUCCAGAUGGAGAUUUUUGUAUGUCAAAGGGUUGGCAAGUGGCUACCUUCUUUAGAAGCGCAUUUGUUGAGUCUCUGCUGGAGGAGGAAGAAGAAGAUGAUGGUUGGGCCUGGAACUGGGAGGAAGUGUUGACAAAGGAGGCGAUGGUGACAAAUGAUAGAACCGACUGGAAACAAUGUUUAGGGAGGAGAAAGUACUUGUGGCCCAGCUGAAGCUGGUCGUUCUCAGACAGAGCUGGGAUCUUCUGCCCUAUGUAGAAAGAAUCUGAGCGGCACACCAGGUGCUUUGGAUACUCCACCAAUAGCUCUGAGACGUGGAUGGGUCGGUCAUAGAUCUUCACUAGCCCAUCGGAUUUGAUGAGCUUAAUAGUCUCCACCGGUGGGUCAGGGCGGAUAUGCACGCACGAGAUGUGGUUGCUCAAGAGGUGAAAACACCAUGGAAUCAUAUGCAGAUUCAAAAAUUUGAUGCCCA
rnacentral:misc_RNA from 1 species